UAUCUUCCUUCUUCUUCUCCUCCCAACGCCAUUUUCAUCCUCCACCAUAAAAAUCAAGCUUUUUCCAUUUUCUUUUCCUUCCUUUCUUUUCAUUUCUUCUUUCUUCUCCUAACUUCUUGGGCACCAAAUCUGCAACUUCUAACUCCAUUUUCCAGCACAACUAAACCCUUGGAGAGAGAUGGAAAAAUCUCUCUUUCUUUCCUUUAUUUUCUAUUUCUACUCCACCAUCACCAACACUUGAAUUUUCAACUUCAAAUCUCCUUUUUUAAAGGUAAAAGUUAUAUAUUUUCAACUCUUGGAAUUUAUAAAUUUAUGGGUUAUAUUUUCAGAUUUUAUUUUCUAAUUUCUUCAAAUUCUUUUUCCUGGAAAUAUUAGGUUUUUGUUGAUCUUUAUUCCUCCAAGCUCACCAAGGUAAAGAACCUUUAAAUUGGAAUAGUUAAUAUGAUGGGUUUGAGAAUUAGACUAGAAUUCUAGGUUAAAAAUUAAGCUAGAAUGUAGUUUAUCAAGCGUAUGCUUAUUAGAAUUAUUAAGUUUGAAUUUAUGAUAUAUUUGAAGCUAUUAUUGUUUAUUAGCAAUUAUAGGUUUUAAUGGUAUUUUGGGACUACCUGGAUUAAGAUUUUGUUAGGUGGCAUCGUUAAGGAGAGUGAACUUGCAUUCAAAAAUGUUUUGGGAGUUUAAUUGUGACACCCCGUACUUUGAUAUAUUGGCUAAUAAAGCUUAUCGGAUGCCAAUUGAGAUUAAUUAGAGUGUUUAAAAGUGAUGAAGGGUGAAAGGCAUAGUUUGGAAUAAAAUAUUUCACAUGCGAAGAAAUAACAAUUAAAUAAUAAUAUUUUUAUUGAGGAUGAAAUAGCGAGAUAAAAAGUGAUUCGAAAGUGAAUCGGGGCAUAAUAGGUCAUUUUGGGUACCAAGGAGACAAGUGAAAAAUUUUGAAAUAAAAUAAUAUUUUAUUCGAUGUCGAAAUUCAUCAUGAAGGAGGAGUAUAUGGUCAAUCUAAGUGGGGGAGAAGAAGAACGAGAGAAUUUCGAAGAAAAAUGACAUUAGUGGGACUAGCGUGUCUUUAUUAAAUAAAGUUAGCGCGAGUAAGUAUAUAUUUAAAUAUUAUGGUGAUAUUGCGUUAAAGUGCAAAUUUAAUAUUUUAUUGUUACAAGUGUUAAGGAGGAAAAAUAGAAAAAAGUUGGAAUUAAAAGAUUGUGGGAGGACUUAAUUAAAAAGGGAAAAAAAACCUUAGAGGGAAAAAUGGUAAUUUUGCCAUUAGUUUGGUCAAAGCUUCAAAAGGAAGCUUUGACUCUUAUCUUCUUCUCCCAUAACCAAUUUUUAUCCACCCAAAGAUAUUUUCUUCUUCUCCUUCAUGCUCCCAUGCCAUUUUCACCUUACCACCAUGGAAAUCAAAUUUUUCAUUUUCGUUUCCUUCCUUUCUUUUCCUUUUCUUUCUUUUCUUACUUCUUUCUUCUCCUACCUUAUUGUGCACCAAAACCAUAGCUUCUAACCCCAUUUUUCAGCACAGCUAAACCUAGGAGAGAGAGAGAAAAAUCUCUCUUUCUUUCUUUCAUUUUCUAUUUCUACUCCACCUUCAUCAACACUUGAGCUUUUAGCUUCAAAUCUUCCUUUUUAAAGCCAAACGGUAUAUAUUUUCAACUCUUGGAUUUUGAAAUUUAUGGGUUCAUAUAUAUUUUUAGAUUUUAUUUCCUAAUUUUCUUCAAAUUCCUUUUCUUGAAAAUAUUAGGUUUCUAUUGAUCUGUAUACCUCCAAGCUCAUCCAGGUAAAGAAACUUUAAAUUGGAAUAGUUGGUCUAAUGGGUUUGUGAAUUAGACUAGAAUUUUAGGUUAAAUGUUAGGUUAGAGUGUAGAUUGUCUAGUGUAAAUUUAUUAGAAUUAUUAGAUUUAAUUUAUGACGUAAUUGAGGUUGUUAUGAUUUAUUGACAAAUAUAGGUGCUAAUGGUACUUCAGGAUUACUUGGAUUAGGACCUUGUUGGUGCUAGUUUUGUAAGGUGAGUGAACUUGCAUUUAAAAGGUUUUAAACAAAUGCAUAUGUGUUGAAUGAAAUGCUAGAAUAUCCUUGGUUGUCUCUUUCAAAAUUUAUGCACAGGAACUAGCUUUUCACAAGUGAUACUUCUACAUUUUUAAACGUAAAAUGUGAUGAAUUACGUAUUUGAAAUAUUAUAUUGAAUUGCUAAUUGAAUUGUGGCAUGUGAUGUAUUGUCAUGCAAAGAUUCUUGUUACAUGCUGUUAUGUGUGUCAUGCAUGGAAAUGUAAUGUUGAAUGAUAAUUAUAACCAUGCAUGUGCAGUGUGGGAGUGCACAUGAUGGCGACGUAAUGUGUGGUGUGGGAGAGCACACGCCGAUGAUAUCUACCAUGUGCGGUGUGGGAGAGCACAUGAUGAUGAUAUUUGCCAUGUGCGGUGUGGGAGUGCGCAUGAGGAUAUUAGCUAUGUGCAGUGUGGGAGUGCACAUGAACUGAGUUGAGGAUGACAGUUGUAUGCGUUAAGCCAUGUUGUCUGGUUGGGAUUGGCCUUGAUGUGUUUCAUGCAUGUUUGAAAUGUGAUUGCAUUGAAUGUUAAAAGUUAAAUUUCCUAAAUAUUUUAAAAUGAGUUAAAAGUCAACAUGGCAUUGAGUUUGUUUAUGAUAUACAAAGGUUUCAAUACAAGUGCAUCAUGUUUUCUAAAAAUCUUCCAUAUCGUUUGCUUGUUCCCUUACUAUGUUCACUCACUAGGUUUAUACUCAUUCUUUUCAACUUCAUGUUUUAGUUUUCAGGAUCGAAGGUAGUUGAAUCCUAGGUCGAGGUGCUCCCUCCUAUUCAUCUUUCAAUAGGUUCACUAUGACUUUCAAUGAUAGCACUAUCAUAGCCCAAUUUUCAGGCCAUGACUGGUGCAUGGCCCCAAUGGGCAUAGCCCACUAAGCCCAAACAAGCCUUUUUAUGUAAUCCCGAUCGUCAUUUCAACAAUAAUUCCUAAAGUCACAUUUCGUAAUUCUCAACUAUAAAAAUUUUCACUAAUAUACUAU
rnacentral:lncRNA from 1 species